rnacentral:rRNA from 1 species
CCUACGGGAGGCUGCAGUGGGGAAUAUUGGACAAUGGGGGGAACCCUGAUCCAGCCAUGCCGCGUGUGUGAAGAAGGCCCUCGGGUUGUAAAGCACUUUCAGUGAGGAAGAACGCCUGGUGGUUAAUACCCAUCAGGAAAGACAUCACUCACAGAAGAAGCACCGGCUAACUCCGUGCCAGCAGCCGCGGUAAUACGGAGGGUGCGAGCGUUAAUCGGAAUUACUGGGCGUAAAGCGCGCGUAGGUGGCUUGAUAAGCCGGUUGUGAAAGCCCCGGGCUCAACCUGGGAACGGCAUCCGGAACUGUCAAGCUAGAGUGCAGGAGAGGAAGGUAGAAUUCCCGGUGUAGCGGUGAAAUGCGUAGAGAUCGGGAGGAAUACCAGUGGCGAAGGCGGCCUUCUGGACUGACACUGACACUGAGGUGCGAAAGCGUGGGUAGCAAACAGGAUUAUAUACCCCAGUAGUC